rnacentral:rRNA from 1 species
UCCAGACUCCUACGGGAGGCAGCAGUGAGGAAUAUUGGUCAAUGGCCGAGAGGCUGAACCAGCCAAGUCGCGUGAGGGAAGACUGCCCUAUGGGUUGUAAACCUCUUUUGUCAGGGAGCAAUUGGCGCUACGUGUAGCGUUAUCGAGAGUACCUGAAGAAAAAGCAUCGGCUAACUCCGUGCCAGCAGCCGCGGUAAUACGUAGGGGGCAAGCGUUAUCCGGAUUUACUGGGUGUAAAGGGAGCGUAGACGGCUGUGCAAGCCAGAUGUGAAAGCCCGGGGCUCAACCCCGGGACUGCAUUUGGAACUGUGUGGCUGGAGUGUCGGAGAGGCAGGCGGAAUUCCUAGUGUAGCGGUGAAAUGCAUAGAUAUCGCGCAGAACUCCGAUUGCGAAGGCAGCAUGCCGGCUCCACACUGACGCUGAGGCACGAAAGCGUGGGUAUCGAACAGGAUUAGAUACCCUAGUAUAC